rnacentral:rRNA from 1 species
GGUUUUUUGAAUAUAAUUUAAGAUUUGGCCUGCCCAAUGAUGUUAAUUUAAUGGCUGCGGUAAUUUGACCGUGCAAAGGUAGCAUAGUCAUUAGUUUUUUAAUUGAAAGCUUGUAUGAAGGGUUUGAUGAAAAAGUUUCUGUCUCUAUUUAAAUUUAUUAGAAUUUUAUUUUUAAGUUAAAAAGCUUAAAUUUUUAUUGAAGACGAGAAGACCCUAUAGAGUUUAAUAUUAAAUUUAAUUAAGAAGAUUUUAGAAUUGAAAUUUUAUAUAGAUUUUAGGUAUUUAAUUGGGGUGAUUUAAAAAUUAGUUUAACUUUUUUUAGAAUAAAGUCAUUGAUUUAUGAAUAAAUGAUCCUUUUUUAAGAUUAAAAGAAUAAAUUACCUUAGGGAUAACAGCGUAAUAUUUUUUGAGAGUUCAAAUUAAAAAAAAAGAUUGCGACCUCGAUGUUGGAUUAAAAAUAAUUAUUGGUGUAGAAGCUAGUAAAUUAGGUCUGUUCGACCUUUAAAAUUUUACAUGAUCUGAGUUUAAACCGGUGUGAG